AAAGACACAUGGAUCCCGGUCCUCCUCCUGGGGGGCUCCUCCCGCCGCCGCCGCCGCCGCCGCUGCUGCUCGGGUUCCUCCUCCCCGGCUCAGCCUCUCGCAUUUCCCGCAGCCCCGGGAGCAGCAGCAGCAGCAGCAGGCAUACACUCUAGGCCGGACACCCAAGGCACUCUGAGGAUUUUCAUCAGUUUUCACAACACAGUUCUAGUAUAAGUUUGAUUUCCAGAGCCUCUUCUGACUAAAUCAUCGUUUUUUGAAAUGAGGACUACAGUAAGAAUUUGAAUUCCUUCAGAGUUUGGUUCCUGCUGGCUUUUCCACGUUUAAUAAAUCUACAAUUUGAGACUGAGGAGACGCUGGCUUGGUAAAUACAAACUUUAAGUGUCUGACUUUGUACAUAGAAAUACAACAUGUACAUGACUAAUGAUAAAUGUAAGAAGUGAUAUAUUUAAUGCUUAUUAUUACUCAUGCUUUUUCAUUUUCUGUACAUUACAAACAUACUUUCAAAAAUUGGAUUAUCGAUCCAAAUGUUUAUCUUUGUUAAGUACUGCAUUGAGAAGAAUCAUUUCCAACUGUGUGUUUCAUAUGCACAAAAUUCUACAUCAGGGCAAUUUACUUCAGUAUACUUGUCAGCUCUGGAGAAAUUAAGGGUCAGAAAUGUGCAAAUUGCAAGUCACUCCUGCUGGAGACAAGUUUUAAAAGGAAACACCUAGGGAUUGGGAAGAGAAAAGUGGGUAGGAUAAAUGGAAGGGUAGAAACAGAGGCUGUGCUUCUAGAAAGACAGAAGAUGAUGAAGGUAAACGUUCGCUGCUGUGAGCAGACAGGUGACUGGGAGCUGUUUUAACAGGACUGAUGGGAGGCUCAUCAGCUUGAACUUAUUGAGGGCAGAGCAGGCAAAACAUAACCUGGGAUGCAGAAGAAGUAUUCAAGGAAUACUUAUUCAACAUAAAUAAAGGUCUUUCAAAGGUUUUUCCGUCUCUGUCAUCCAAAUUACACAGCUUUGAGACCACAAUGGCAAAGAUCCAGGAGGCAGGCAGCUGAGGUAGAUUCCUCAAAAUUAUAAAAUCAGAAAGUCAAUGAGCAUCUGGAAGGACCAAAUGCAAAAAAAAAAAAAAAAAUAGAAUGCCUUCUUUCUAAUAAGUAGACAUGUUAAAUAGGCACCUUAAAAAUACAGUAGGUAUGCAACAGUGUUAACAGCAAUUAACUCUAAAGGGCUGGACUUGCACUUCUUAUAUUUUUUCUAUAUCAGUCUUCCAGAGCAGAUGUAGUCUAAUCACAAAUAUAUAUUAGAUGUUCAAAAUGUGGAUGGGGAGUGAGGGUUGUUAUCUGCAAAAAAGACAAAGGAACAUCUCAUGAAACUCCAGUAAGCAAAGGAGAUUCUCAAAGAGUCUAACAUACAAAUGACGGAAUAAAAAUUCAUGAUACAGUACACUUUCUUACUAAUUGAAGGUCUAUAAAAUGUCAUUGAUAUGUCUUUCUUUAGAGAGCAGCCUUUAUCACUUUGUUUCAGUGAACAUAAAAGUAUUUAUGAGGCUUUCCCAUAGGUUCGCUACUAAAUGGUAUCUCUCUCUUUUUGUAUUCCCAUAGUCUUAAAUUCCUCAGUGUUUUAGGAACCAAACUUUUAUGAUUGUGUAAAAAGACCACUAAAAUGUAAAUUCUAGAUCUUAUAAAAUUUCUGUUCAUAUUUUUACUA